AGAACGAACGCUGGCGGCAGGCUUAACACAUGCAAGUCGAACGCUCGUAGCAAUACGGGAGUGGCAGACGGGUGAGUAACGCGUGGGAACAUACCCUCCGGUUCGGAAUAGCUCAGGGAAACUUGGAUUAAUACCGGAUACGGCUGAGAGGCGAAAGAUUUAUCGCCGGAGGAUUGGCCCGCGUUCGAUUAGCUUGUUGGUGAGGUAACGGCUCACCAAGGCGAUGAUCGAUAGCUGGUCUGAGAGGAUGAUCAGCCACAUUGGGACUGAGACACGGCCCAAACUCCUACGGGAGGCAGCAGUGGGGAAUAUUGGACAAUGGGCGCAAGCCUGAUCCAGCCAUGCCGCGUGAGUGAUGACGGCCUUAGGGUUGUAAAGCUCUUUCGCUCGGGACGAUAAUGACGGUACCGAGAUAAGAAGCCCCGGCUAACUUCGUGCCAGCCAGCCGC
rnacentral:rRNA from 1 species